rnacentral:rRNA from 1 species
UACAGAGGUCUCAAGCGUUGUUCGGAUUCAUUGGGCGUAAAGGGUGCGUAGGUGGCCAACUAAGUCAGACGUGAAAUCCCUCAGCUUAACUGGGGAACUGCGUCUGAUACUGGAUGGCUUGAGUUUGGGAGAGGGAUGCGGAGUUCCAGGUGUAGCGGUGAAAUGCGUAGAUAUCUGGAGGAACACCGGUGGCGAAGGCGGCAUCCUGGACCAACACUGACACUGAGGAGCGAAAGCCAGGGGAGCAAACGGG